rnacentral:rRNA from 1 species
CAUACGGGAGGCAGCAGUCGGGAAUAUUGCGCAAUGGAGGAAACUCUGACGCAGUGACGCCGCGUGCAGGAAGAAGGUUUUCGGAUUGUAAACUGCUUUAGACAGGGAAGAAAAAAGACAGUACCUGUAGAAUAAGCUCCGGCUAACUACGUGCCAGCAGCCGCGGUAAUACGUAGGGAGCAAGCGUUAUCCGGAUUUAUUGGGUGUAAAGGGAGAGUAGGCGGGCGAGAAAGUUGAAUGUUAAAUCUACCGGCUUAACUGGUAGCUGCGUUCAAAACUUCUUGUCUUGAGUGAAGGAGAGGCAG